rnacentral:rRNA from 1 species
AUUGAACGCUGGCGGCAUGCCUAACACAUGCAAGUCGAGCGGAUGAAGGGAGCUUGCUCCUGGAUUCAGCGGCGGACGGGUGAGUAAUGCCUAGGAAUCUGCCUUGUAGUGGGGGAUAACGUCCGGACACGGGCGCUAAUACCACAUACGUCCUUAGGUAGAACGUGGGGGAUCUUCGGACCUCACGCUAUCAGAUGAGCCUAGGUCGGAUUAGCUAGUUGGUGGGGUAAAGGCCUACCAAGGCGACGAUCCGUAACUGGUCUGAGAGGAUGAUCAGUCACACUGGAACUGAGACACGGUCCAGACUCCUACGGGAGGCAGCAGUGGGGAAUAUUGCGCAAUGGGCGAAAGCCUGAUCCAGCCAUGCCGCGUGUGUGAAGAAGGUCUUCGGAUUGUAAAGCACUUUAAGUUGGGAGGAAGGGAAGUAAGUUAAUACCUUGCUGUAUUGACGUUACCAACAGAAUAAGCACCGGCUAACUUCGUG